GUAAACUGAAAUUUGACCUGUUGAACCACAGGUGUUCCUCCUGUCACCUCCGCUCUGACCUCAUAAAGAUGGACCACCACGGUCCAAAGGGGCACUGCCAUGGUGGAGGACCUGGCCAUGGCCAUGGGCCCUGCCACGGUGGGGGGCCUGGCCAUGGAGCCAAUCCUCCAGGUCACUGUGGACCUCCUCAUGCCCAUGGUCCUGGGCCCCACCCACCCCAUGGUCCUGGGCCCCACCCACACCCAGCACCUUGCGUGCCCCCUCCUGGCCACGGUCCUGGGCACCACCACCCCCCAGGGCACUGCGGGCCCCAUCCUGGUCCACAUCACUGAGGAAGCAGAAGAAAACAGAAGACAAGUUGAGGAGCCUGAAUGGGUUGCCCUGCAGACCUGGCAGGUGACCUGAACUAUAAUCUUCCCAGUA